AUUGAACGCUGGCGGCAGGCCUAACACAUGCAAGUCGAACGAGUGGCGGACGGGUGAGUAAUGUCUGGGAAACUGCCCGAUGGAGGGGGAUAACUACUGGAAACGGUAGCUAAUACCGCCUACUAUCAGAUGAGCCUAGGUCGGAUGUGCUAGUUGGUGGGGUAAAGGCCUACCAAGGCGACGAUCCGUAACUGGUCUGAGAGGAUGACCAGCGAUACUGGAACAGAGACACGGUCCAGACUCCUACGGUAGGCAGCAGUGGGGAAUAUUGCACAAUGGGCGCAAGCCUGAUGCAGCCAUGCCGCGGGUAUGAAGAAGUCCUUGGGGUUGUAAAGUACUUGCAGCGGGGAGGCGGUACCCGCAGAAGAUGCACCGGCUAACUCCGGGCCAGCAGCCGCGGUAAUAC
rnacentral:rRNA from 1 species